rnacentral:rRNA from 1 species
AUUGAACGCUGGCGGCAUGCUUUACACAUGCAAGUCGAACGGACCUAGGGGCUUGCUCCUAGGUUAGUGGCGAACGGGUGAGUAAUGCAUCGGAACGUACCGUGUAGUGGGGAUAACCUGGCGAAAGUCAGAUUAAUACCGCAUACGAUCUACGGAUGAAAGCGGGGGACCUUCGGGCCUCGCGCUAUACGAGCGGCCGAUGUCGGAUUAGCGAGUUGGUGAGGUAAAGGCUCACCAAGGCGACGAUCCGUAGCGGGUCUGAGAGGAUGAUCCGCCACACGGGGACUGAGACACGGCCCAGACUCCUACGGGAGGCAGCAGUGGGGAAUUUUGGACAAUGGACGCAAGUCUGAUCCAGCCAUGCCGCGUGAGUGAAGAAGGCCUUCGGGUUGUAAAGCUCUUUUGUCAGGGAGCAAAUCCUGCCUGCUAAUACUAGGUGGGGAUGAGAGUACCUGAAGAAUAAGCACCGGCUAACUACGUGCCAGCCGCCGCCGUAAGAC